UUUUUUCGAAUUGAUUGGAAGAAGGGUGUAGCGAAGAAAAAAAAAAUAAGAGCUAGAAAGAAAGGGUAGGUUGAAUCUGAAAAGUACUCAGUGGGGGUAACUAUGUUAAGUUAAUUGCGUACCAUAAAAAAAAAAAGAAGAAAAUGUUAUGGAAAAUACAUUGUGUUCCUGUUUUAGGAUACACACUUCAAGUAUCUUCGUUGUGACGGAUCGGAUCUUCGGUCUCAGUUUUCUUGUUCCAAUCCGGGUAGUCCGAAGGAGGGAAAGGAGUGUGCCUGCAAAGACACUCCGACGCUCAAGUUAGUGCUCGGCGUAAUAAAUGCGGUAGUUCAGAAUUAAUUACAUACCUCGUUGGGGUCCUAUUUAUAGUGGUUCUUAUUGGGCUGCAAUUAGGGACUGGGCCCCGGAAAAUUAGGGGUCUAAUCCUGUGCAUUAUGUUAAUUAAUCUCUCCGUAACCAUCUAGAUGAUGUCGACAUACUCGGCCGACUCCGCCGACCCGUUUCACCUCAUGUAGGGGUGGUCGGCGGGUUCGAGUACUCGGCAUAAACAACGAUCUCGGGUAUUCGGGCGUUUCGGCCACCAUACGGUUAACGAUCUCGAGUAUUCGGGCGUUUCGGCCACCAUACGGUAUACAUUGCUACUCUAUUCGAUGGGCCAUGAACAAUCGAAAAAAGCCCAGACCUCUCCUUCCGGAAAGACUCCGCAACACAGCUCUUGCCCUAGCAGACAUUCGGGAAAGACGCCUCCCUUGCCGGCCACGACGCCUCUUUCUCUAUUAGAUAUUUCAUCGCUUCUCUGUUCUGUUUGUCGCUUUCUUCGCUUCUCUGCGUUUCGUUUAUGAGAUGGAAACCUCGUUUCGGGAAAUCUUGCCUAUGUUUGAAGGUUGAGGGCUUUAUGUUUAUAUCCUCAUUCAUUUUGAUCAUUAUAUUUAAAUACUGAGUGAUAAAGUUGAAUUUUAUUUUAGGAACUGCAUUUAGUCUAGUUGUGUACGUGGCGGUUAUUGUUUAGUUUCAGUGGAGUGUAGUUAUUGUUUGGUGUUAUUAGGUAGUUAUUUUAUACAUGUGACAAUUAUUAUUUAAUAUAUACUGUAGAGGAAGUCAGAGAGGGGAGAAGGGUAGUUUUUUUAUCAGUUUCAGUGGAAGGAGGAGACACAUUGUUAGGGGGAAAUAUUCUGUUUGUCAUUAUGUGUUUGAACCUAGCCUAUGAACCAGAUUAAAUUUCUAAUAUA